UUUUUUUUUUAUCUAGAUUGUAUUUUGAUCCUUAGAUGUUGCAUCUACAGCCAGAAUAAAUUCCAUCCUUCUAUACAUGCUACAUUUAUUAUGAGCUAUACUAGCAAUUUAUCAAGAAUCAGGUAUGGAUCAGCACAGGUGGUAAGUAAAGCAAAAUCAUCUUUAGAGUCUAAAAACAAAGCAAAGAUCUAACUGUGAAUAAGUUGCACAAAGUUAUUGGACCACUCGCAGGAUUAAAUGUAUAUGAUGGCUUUCUUUGUCAGCC